GCAUUGAUCUUUUUAUGUACUGAUUCACGAGGACUUAAGCCUAUGAUGCAGUUGUUUUCCCAGUCUUGGGAGCUGGCAGAUGCCAUUACCCAGGUCAGGAGAUAGAACCUUGCCAGCUAUACCCUGAAGCUGUUCAAGUCUUUCUCCCAAUUACAGUCUUCAUAAGAGUUGUUAGAAGGACUGAAUGAGAUGAAGUAGAGGAAAGUCUUCUAGGACAGGGGUCCUCAACCCUUGGGCCACAGACUGGUGGCAGGAGGGCUGCACAGCAGAUGGGAUGCCUGGUUGCAAGAAAACAAGCUCAGGGCUCCCACAGAUUCUACGUGAUGCAGUUUUCACAGAUUUGUGGCCAGAUGCUAGAGACAAAGGCUGAGAAGUUGUCCAGGACGUCAUAUUCUUGCUUUGCUGGAGGCAGAUCUGAAGGAUGUCAUCUCUCCUGUGGCUUCUUCUAGUGUGGGGUCCCGAAGCCUGGCUUCCCCAGCCGAUGUGCUGCUUUAGUCAGCGUCUGCCCUGGUCCUUCGGUUCGCAGGCUCACACGCUUUUUUGGGUUGUGUCCCUUUGGACUGCAGAGGCUACGUGUCCUGUGACCAACCACGAAGGCGGCCACUCCCGCUCCCCUCAGGAGUGUCUUAAAAUACCUCCAUUUUAGCUACCCUAUUGAAUGACAGGUUAGCUGGGUGCUGGGUUUUCAGGUGAUGGACAUUUUCCCUCAGUCCUCUGAAGGUGUUGCUGGCUUCAGGCAUUGAUGCCGCCACUCUGAUUGUUGUAUGCAGUGAGCAAACUAGAAUUUUCUCUUGGCUUUCUAGAUUUUCUUCUUUAUAUUCUGAAACUUUAUUA
rnacentral:lncRNA from 1 species